GCUGCGCGCUUACCAUGCAAGUCGAGCGGGCGAGGUUGCUUCGGUAACUGAGCUAGCGGCGGACGGGUGAGUAAUGCUUAGGAAUCUGCCUAUUAGUGGGGGACAACAUUCCGAAAGGGAUGCUAAUACCGCAUACGUCCUACGGGAGAAAGCAGGGGAUCUUUAUGACCUUGCGCUAAUAGAUGAGCCUAAGUCGGAUUAGCUAGUUGGUGGGGUAAAGGCCUACCAAGGCGACGAUCUGUAGCGGGUCUGAGAGGAUGAUCCGCCACACUGGGACUGAGACACGGCCCAGACUCCUACGGGAGGCAGCAGUGGGGAAUAUUGGACAAUGGGGGGAACCCUGAUCCAGCCAUGCCGCGUGUGUGAAGAAGGCCUUUUGGUUGUAAAGCACUUUAAGCGAGGAGGAGGCUUACCUGGUUAAUACCUGGGAUAAGUGGACGUUACUCGCAGAAUAAGCACCGGCUAACUCUGUGCCAGCAGCCGCGGUAAUACAGAGGGUGCGAGCGUUAAUCGGAUUUACUGGGCGUAAAGCGCGCGUAGGUGGUUAAUUAAGUCAAAUGUGAAAUCCCCGAGCUUAACUUGGGAAUUGCAUUCGAUACUGGUUAGCUAGAGUAUGGGAGAGGAUGGUAGAAUUCCAGGUGUAGCGGUGAAAUGCGUAGAGAUCUGGAGGAAUACCGAUGGCGAAGGCAGCCAUCUGGCCUAAUACUGACACUGAGGUGCGAAAGCAUGGGGAGCAAACAGGAUUAGAUACCCUGGUAGUCCAUGCCGUAAACGAUGUCUACUAGCCGUUGGGGGAUUUGAUCCUUUAGUGGCGCAGCUAACGCGAUAAGUAGACCGCCUGGGGAGUACGGUCGCAAGACUAAAACUCAAAUGAAUUGACGGGGGCCCGCACAAGCGGUGGAGCAUGUGGUUUAAUUCGAUGCAACGCGAAGAACCUUACCUGGCCUUG
rnacentral:rRNA from 1 species